rnacentral:rRNA from 1 species
GACGAACGCUGGCGGCGUGCUUAACACAUGCAAGUCGAACGGACAGGCCCUGCUUUUGUGGGGUGCUCGAGUGGCGAACGGGUGAGUAACACGUGAGUAACCUGCCCUUGACUUUGGGAUAACUUCAGGAAACUGGGGCUAAUACCGGAUAGGAGCUCCUGCUGCAUGGUGGGGGUUGGAAAGUUUCGGCGGUUGGGGAUGGACUCGCGGCUUAUCAGCUUGUUGGUGGGGUAGUGGCUUACCAAGGCUUUGACGGGUAGCCGGCCUGAGAGGGUGACGGGCCACAUUGGGACUGAGAUACGGCCCAGACUCCUACGGGAGGCAGCAGUGGGGAAUAUUGCACAAUGGGCGGAAGCCUGAUGCAGCAACGCCGCGUGCUGGAUGACGGCCUUCGGGUUGUAAACCGCUUUCGCCUGUGACGAAGCGUGAGUGACGGUAAUGGGUAAAGAAGCACCGGCUAACUACGUG